UACGUAGGGUGCAAGCGUUGUCCGGAAUUAUUGGGCGUAAAGAGCGUGUAGGCGGUUUGGUAGGUCCGUUGUGAAAACUCGAGGCUCAACCUCGAGACGCCGAUGGAAACCAUCAGACUAGAGUCCGGAAGAGGAGAGUGGAAUUCCGUGGUGUAGCGGUGAAAUGCGCAGAUAUCAGGAAGAACACCCGUGGCUAAGGCGGCUCUCUAGUACGGUACUGACGCUGAGACGCGAAAGCGUGGGGAGCGAACAGG
rnacentral:rRNA from 1 species